rnacentral:rRNA from 1 species
UCCAGACUCCUACGGGAGGCAGCAGUGGGGGAUAUUGCACAAUGGGGGGAACCCUGAUGCAGCGACGCCGCGUGGGUGAAGGAGCGUUUCGGCGCGUAAAGCCCUAUCGGCAGGGAAGAAGGAGGACGGUACCUGACUAAGAAGCCCCGGCUAACUACGUGCCAGCAGCCGCGGUAAUACGUAGGGGGCAAGCGUUAUCCGGAUUUACUGGGUGUAAAGGGAGCGUAGACGGCGAUGCAAGCCAGAUGUGAAAGCCCGGGGCUCAACCCCGGGACUGCAUUUGGAACUGUGUGGCUGGAGUGUCGGAGAGGCAGGCGGAAUUCCUAGUGUAGCGGUGAAAUGCGUAGAUAUUAGGAAGAACACCAGUGGCGAAGGCGGCUUGCUGGACAGUAACUGACGUUGAGGCUCGAAAGCGUGGGGAGCAAACAGGAUUAGAUACCCGUGUAAC